rnacentral:rRNA from 1 species
CAGUAGCCGCGGUAAAACGGAGGGUGCAAGCGUUAAUUGGAAUUACUGGGCGUAAAGCGCACGCAGGCGGUCUGACAAGUCAGAUGUGAAAUCCCCGGGCUUAACCUGGGAACUGCAUUUGAAACUGUCAGGCUGGAGUCUUGUAGAGGGGGGUGGAAUUCCAGGUGUAGCGGUGAAAUGCGUAGAGAUCUGGAGGAAUACCGGUGGCGAAGGCGGCCCCCUGGACAAAGACUGACGCUCAGGUGCGAAAGCGUGGGGAGCAAACAGGAUUAGAGACCCCAGUAGUCCCUGUCUCUUAUAC